GCGGGUGUAGUUCAGUGGUAGAACGUCUCGUUGCCAACGAGAAGGUCAUGGGUUCAAGUCCCAUCACCCGCU
rfam:Candidatus Endomicrobium trichonymphae strain CET450 CET450_Contig25, whole genome shotgun sequence.